AUUGAACGCUGGCGGCAGGCCUAACACAUGCAAGUCGAGCGGGGGUAGCAAUACCCUAGCGGCGAACGGGUGAGGAAUGCUUGGGAAUCUGCCUGGUAGUGGGGGAUAACGUUCCGAAAGGAACGCUAAUACCGCAUACGUCCUACGGGAGAAAGGGGGGGAUCUUCGGACCUCUCGCUAUCAGAUGAGCCCAAGCGGGAUUAGCUAGUUGGUGGGGUAAAGGCUCACCAAGGCGACGAUCCCUAGCUGGUCUGAGAGGAUGAUCAGCCACACUGGAACUGAGACACGGUCCAGACUCCUACGGGAGGCAGCAGUGGGGAAUAUUGGACAAUGGGCGAAAGCCUGAUCCAGCCAUGCCGCGUGUGUGAAGAAGGCCUUCGGGUUGUAAAGCACUUUAAGCGAGGAGGAAGGUUCGUCACCUAAUACGUGACGGAAUUGACGUUACUCGCAGAAUAAGCACCGGCUAACUCUGUGCCAGCAGCCGCGGUAAAAC
rnacentral:rRNA from 1 species